rnacentral:rRNA from 1 species
CGGGGGAGGUUGCUUCGGUAACUGACCUAGCGGCGGACGGGUGAGUAAUACUUAGGAAUCUGCCUAUUAAUGGGGGACAACAUCUCGAAAGGGAUGCUAAUACCGCAUACGCCCUACGGGGGAAAGCAGGGGAUCACUUGUGACCUUGCGUUAAUAGAUGAGCCUAAGUCGGAUUAGCUAGUUGGUGGGGUAAAGGCCUACCAAGGCGACGAUCUGUAGCGGGUCUGAGAGGAUGAUCCGCCACACUGGGACUGAGACACGGCCCAGACUC